CAUGAAUCAGUUGCUGCAUUCAAGGGUGCGUUUAAAAGAAACAAUAAGAUAUACAGUAUGGUGGUGUUCAUAGAAAACUUGUGGAUGCUAGGACGAUGACAAAGUUUAAGUUGUGACGAUUCCCUUGCAUAGUUUCAGAUUUUCACACAAGUGUUCUCCAUCUUUGUAUCAUACAGAAACAAAGUUGAAACUAACUGGUCUUAUACAAACCAAAGAGAUAGUCUGAGAUCAACGUUUACUUCAUAUGUACUACCUGGACUAUCCUGAGCACCUUCAAGCUAACAGCUGGUGGCCCUAUUCGACAUCAUUCAAAGCCGAAUAUCUGGUUAUGUACCCUGAAGACAAGCGUCAAUUGUAAUUUAUUAUUUAGUACAAAUUACAAUUUCUCUAACAGCAUGGCAGUACCUAUAAUCGAAUAACUAGAUGGUACCUCAAUGGUGAACUUUUAACUGGACUAAACUGUGAACAUUAUUAAUCCCCAGUAAGGUAUGAUGUGGGGUGUUGAUUGUUAAAUGUUGUUAAUGUGUAUAAUGUAUAUUUGCUAUAUUUGUAUCUUGUGUGUUU